UACCAUAUUCGAUUUUUUUUUUUUACCCUAAAAGGAUAUUUUUUUGGACACUGAAGAGCAGUUUUGAAAUUGUUUCGAAAUAAAAAGCUAAAAGAAAUGACUUUCUCCUGACUCCUGCUGGCCUGCAGGGUUCAUUUUGGACAUGGUCCUAGGGAACUUCCUAUGACAGACGGGGUGUGACCUCCUGUGACUUCCUUUGUGCUCCCGCUGUUCCUGGACCCCCCGCCACUCUUUUCUGAUUAGAUCUAUGCUUCAUUCCUCCUGGCCUCAGAGGUCCCUGAGACCACGUCCCUGGGCCCUGUCAGGAUCAUGGCACAGAUCAGCCUCUCAAAACACAAUCAAUCUCCUCGACAAAAGGGUGUAUUUGGGGGUACGGUUCAACUCCACCUCUUCACCGGGGGCUCAACCAAAGAAAUUGUUGGUCUGGCUCUUGGAGGUACCCGUGCCUCAGAGGUACCCGUGCCUCAGUGGCACCCAUGGGCAAACAGGAGGCAUGUCUGCCAGGGUUUCCUGGGAGAAAUAUUUACAGUUUAGGGCAGAGUUGAAGAUCUAAUCCCCCAGACAUGACCUUGCCAAAGAGGCUUCUCAAUGGGGAAAAUUCUCUUUUAUACCUUUGAUGUCACUGGUGUGCUCAAUGAACGCACUGGGGGGGGGGGGGCGGGGAGGAGGCGUGAGCUACCUAGACUACCUGUCCAGCAUUGACGAUGGUCCUGGCUCUGUCCCUCCCUUCUCAUCUCUUGACGUGGUUAGAGCGCCCCCUUGGGGUGAGGGACAGGUGUGACGGUGCAGGAAUGGGGCUGAGGAAGCUCUGGGCGCGGCAGGAGGGUUCCAGGAUCCAGGAGGGGAGGCAGGGGCCUGGCCAGCCAGUCAGGGGCGGAGCCUGACAGGGAGUGCCUAGUCCGGAAGGGAGGGCAAAGGGCUAUGCUGUCUGCCUGCCCCACCCCACGGACAAGAGUCCCAGUCACCAGGCCACCCUCUCUGUCUGGGGCCCUAGAGGGGCCCAGAAUCCCAAGUGGCUGGAGCACUGGGGGACGCCCAGACAGAGCCCUCGCUGGACCAAGUCCUCCAGGAGCGGGAUGAAGCCAUUGCCAAGAAGCAAGCAUUGGAGGCCGAGCUGGACACAUGCAAAGCCAAGUUGCGUGCUGUGGAGGCCCAGCUACUGGAGGUCCUGGAGGAGAAACUGAGGCUGAGGCAGGAGGUGGAGGCCUGGGAGGAGGACAUGCAGCAGCUGGUGAGGCAGCGGGUCGAGAGGCAGCUGCAGAGAGAGGCCAGGGGCUCUCUGGGCGCCCCCGUGGACCCCCGAACAGCCAGGGCCCCCUGGGUCCGAUUCCCCCUGGGUCGGUGGGGACGCUGGUGGUGACAGAGCUCAGCCCAGGACCUUGGGAGCAGUGUCUUUAUUCAUUAAAGCUUGAGGUCUGACCAUCUCUGCACCCUCAUG